rnacentral:rRNA from 1 species
UACGUAGGGUGCGAGCGUUGUCCGGAAUUAUUGGGCGUAAAGGGCUCGUAGGCGGUUUGUCGCGUCGGGAGUGAAAACCUCGGGCUUAACUCGGGGCUUGCGGUCGAUACGGGCAUCACUGGAGUUCGGCAGGGGAGACUGGAAUUCCUGGUGUAGCGGUGAAAUGCGCAGAUAUCAGGAGGAACACCGGUGGCGAAGGCGGGUCUCUGGGCCGAUACUGACGCUGAGGAGCGAAAGCGUGGGGAGCGAACAGG